rnacentral:rRNA from 1 species
GAGUUUGAUCAUGGCUCAGGACGAACGCUGGCGGCGUGCUUAACACAUGCAAGUCGAGCGAGAAAGCACCUUCGGGUGUGAGUACAGCGGCGAACGGGUGAGUAACACGUGGGCAACCUGCCCCAGAGACUGGGAUAACGUCCCGAAAGGGACGCUAAUACCGGAUGAUGCGCGACCUGCCAAGUGGGUCGCGCCAAAUGGUAGCGUAAGCUUCUACUCUGGGAUGGGCCCGCGCCGGAUUAGCUCGUUGGUGAGGUAACGGCUCACCAAGGCGACGAUCCGUAGCUGGUCUGAGAGGACGAUCAGCCACACUGGGACUGAGACACGGCCCAGACCCCUACGGGAGGCAGCAGUGGGGAAUCUUGCACAAUGGGGGAAACCCUGAUGCAGCGACGCCGCGUGAGCGAUGAAGCCCUUCGGGGUGUAAAGCUCUUUCGACGGGAACGAUAAUGACGGUACCCGGAGAAGAAGCUGCGGCUAACUACGUGCCAGCAGCCGCGGUAA